GACCAAGUGAAAUGCAUUAUAAUGGAGCUUUUCAGGAGCAGGCUGCUGACAGACUUUGCUUUGCUCCAGAACCAUUGGUAUCUUUGAAAAUCUGGUCCGUGCUGCUGCUGGCUUACUCCUGGAACAGAGAGCAGAGUUAUACCGAGGGCACAUCCACUGCAGUACCUCAGGUGGCGAGAGAUGGGCAUUUAUGUCCUGCAAACUGGUUCUAGAAACCGGCAUGUUUUCACCACCUUUCAGAUGGCAGAGAAAUGUAGCAAAGACUCGGAGAGCUGGUCCUUCUGUUGCUGCAAAUGAAAUAAAAUCAUUAAUUUGUUGAGUUGCA